CUUUUGGGGCCCAUGCCCCCAUCCACCCCCCUGUUUUAUCUCCCUUAUGGUUGUUAUCUAUGAAGCAGGAAUGUCUGGGGCUAUAGAUAGCGCUGGGGCCUCAGCAUUAUAAAUGUCCAGAACAAGCCAUUUUUUAAGACCUGAAUAUUAAGCAUCUAAAAAUAUGUCUACAAGGGGAAUUCUUGGAGUGCUCUGUAGCUCAUGUCACGAACCCAACGCCAAAAGCUUGGAGGAUAUUUUGGUAGAGGCUCCCGAAUGUUUUAACGGAUUUCUGUGUACAAGCGAGGGCCAUAUUUCGUACAUAUUCAACCCGGAGGAAUCUACGGUUAAGAUAUUCACAGACAGCGUGUCCCAACCCUUUUAUCGUGCAGAACCCGAGCCUUUUUCUCUAGCGCUAAGGAUGCGAGAAUGGCUUAAAAUAAGGCUAGCUUUGUGUCAAAUGGAACGUGCCCUGAGUGCUUCAAGGCUGCCAGGAUAUGCGUUGGAAGAACAAGUCUGUGGACGUCAGGAUCUAAUGGCUCUGAGAGUCACAUCCAUGGGGUAUACCCCGGACUCCAGAGUGACAAUUUUAGCAUGUGAACAAUUUGACAGGUCAAAUGCUACGAAAACGGUCAGUCCAUAUGUAUCCUCCAAAGCAUGCAAGGAUGUAAAUUUUUUUCAAAUAAUGUUCAGUUUUAAAUGGCGCGAUUACCACAUAUUCCGAACCCUGAUGAAUAAGCUGGACAGUCUUUUCGAAAAUCGUGAACAAUUACGGCGAUGGCCUAGGUUAUCGUUGAGACAUACCCCGGAACAACAACAACAAGUUCGAAGGCGGAUCUUUCCCUGGCAGGAAAGUGGACAGAGCUUCGACGGAGCGUGGAAAAGACUUUGUGAUGGGGAAUUGGAAACGGAUAAUGUUCAGGGCUAACAGGACCCCAUAUAUCUGUAAGAAAUAGUUAAAAUAAAUGUUGAAUUAUAACGUGUGUUAAAAUGUAGGUGUUAAUUUUUGAAAAUGUAUACCCCCCCAUUUAACUAAGGGGUAGCGCUCUUUUCUCUCAAGCUAGGGUCUGGCGCAGACAACUGUAAGAUCUGAAAAAAAACAUGUAUUAUUUUAUAGUCUAUUCCUACAUUGGGUAUGUUAUGAACAUUACGUUUUAUUAAAGUUUGUAAUAAUGUACAAAGACCUGCAUCCAAGGUUUUUUUUUAUUUUUACAUAAAACACGUGUGCUGCAUGUUUAAAUAUUAUUCAAAUGGGUUACUUAAUUCAAACAUGUCUUAAAGGUUGUACGAAAUAUUUUGGAAUUCAAUAAAAGGAAUGUUUAAAAACGGUAUCUCACCCUUUAACUAUGGGAAAAACCUAUUUAACAACGUCUUCCAGCUCUGUCGCGAAGUAAAAUAGAAUCAGAGUGUUUGUGUGUGUGUGGGGAGGGGUCUUGAGGCGGAGCAACAGGCGUGUGUGUGUGUGUGUGUGUGUGUGUGUGUGUGUGUGUGUGUGUGUGUGUGUGUGUGUGUGUGUGUGUGUGGUUGGUUGUGUGUGUAACAUAAAUCCUAAGGUUGGGGGGUCCCAGAACUCUUAUCUGUAGAGAACCGUUUGAAACCAAGGUGUGCACUAUCAUGCAUAAGGCAUGUCGAGAUAUCAGCCGAACAGCGGGGGUUAAACAUAGAUAUCUCUAAUCUGCGGCCCCCACACACCCCGUUUGCAGACAGAAUGUCACGACAUCCCCUCCUGUUGUUUGAAUUCACAGCCUGUGUUCUCUAAACCAGACAUACAUGGGUUGGGGUGUAGCAUACAUCUCUCAAAAAAACUCAUUCCGAACUUUUAGAUAGUUAGGGACAGAACUAUUUUUUAACGUUGUCAGCAUUGCUUUAGCGCAAACAUAAAGGCCCGAAUAUUGAGCUGCACGGACAGAUUAAAAUAAUAACAAUAAUAUUCGGAAUAAGGGAAUCUCGCAUAAUGGAUAUUUCUGGAGGUGAGUAAAUGAAAAAAACAUAUUUUAAGAUUUGUUUGAAUAUUAUUGGAAUAUUAAACCCUAGUUAUUUGGGUAUUUCAGGCCAAAAGCCCAAUAUAGGUAAAAAAAAUUAAAAAAAAGUGUAGAUAUAGCGUAUAACUGUUAACAUUGUCUAAUGGAAUCUAGGAUCCCCGACAUUUACGCAGCUUUUACACGAUUUACCUGAUCUGGAACAUGAUGGGGGUUCGCAGGAGCAAAAGUCUGGCAGACAAUCACCAACGGCCUUUUUUCGUUCCGACAUACAGCCCUUUAUGAUAAAGGAUGCGUUAUGGACAGCUGACACGCAGGACUUUGAUGCAAUUCUACCGUUCUGUACGAGCGCUUUUUCAAACUCACAGCGAAUCCAGGGAACAUCGACCCCCUCCCGACAUAUUCCAGACCCCAACAGGCAACGAUCAACUGUGGCCCAAGUACACUGCUCAUAAUCAAGCCCACCCGAAAACUACUGUUGGGCCGGGAACUUGCUGCUUCACGAGCCGGCGCUCCAGGGACAAGACUGCCCGGAGACAGACCCAGCAGAAUCUGGAACGCUAGAGGGAAAAAGUCACACACCCCCGGUUUCGGCGAUUCGUCACAACAAGCGCCAAAAAAGCCGAAACUCCGCACCGGCGAAAAACGGCACAGACGACCACAUAAAUCUAGAGCUGGGGGAUUCCGGCGCCCCGAGCAUUCCGAAUGAAACACCCAAGAGACCUGUUUUUAAUGACAUGUCAGAUGUUGAUGACCAGCUAUUCUGUGAUGCGGCCAACCUCAUAGACCCAGUCAAUUCUACGGCCUCAAUACCUGCAGCCGAACAAGAAAGGUUUUUCACAUUAUUUUCCAGGGCUUUGAAAUCGAGGAAUGUUUUGCUAUACAAACGACUGGGGGAUUUAAUUGAGAGACAGUACAGAGACGAUAUGUUAUUCUGGCAUAGAACAAUUCCACGCAUGUUAAACAGCAACCCCAUUAAAAAACGCAAAUACAGACGCUAAAAUCAUACAUGUAACACCAACCAUUACAGAAAGAAAAAAAAAACGAACACUCUUAAUUAUCCAAAAAUGGCAGAACUAACGCAACAUGGGGAGACAGUUGAAAGCCUCUUAUCCCAGAUUCCAGACGAACUCCUAGAAGUUAUAAGACGUAUGAACGAUUCAGGAACGUUAGAUGAAAGCAUAUUAACACAGAUUCCAGCCGAACUCUUAGAAAUGAUUAAUCGUAUGAACCAGUCAGGGGGGGUUGAGGAAAACAUGUUAUCCCAGAUUCCCGAAGCCCUCAUAACCUUAAUUAAUCGUAUGAACGCGAGUCAGACAAUUUCGGCCCCGACAACCCCGACAGCGAUAGAACACCCGUAACGCCUAGGUCCGUAGAGUCUGAAACGCCACAAGAUGUUUUUGGGGAAUUGGACAAUUAUCUAAUAAAUCUGGCUGCAGAUGUUCAUGAUAGACGUGUCAGGGUUGUGUACAGGAAUAAAUUCAACAAUACAGAGAUUCGACAGUUUUUCAAUUUCCUAUGUGUGAAUCAGAAUCUUGACUAUGCUGUAUUUUACAUGAUGAUAAUGGACACUCUGAAUGACCUGUUAGAAACAGCAAGAGAUUAUGGCGAACCUCGUGAUGUCUUACAGUUGGAAAUAUGUGGAGAUAGCCUGCAUAAUUCAGUAUCUCUUAUUUUACCCAAUGGCGAAGCAGAUCUUGAACAAUUUACAGCGCUGGUAGAACGCCUUGUUCAGUCAAAUUUAGCCAUCAUAGCCGAUCGAACCCUAGAGCUUGUAGUGCAAAUAAUACGUCAACCACAGGGGGGCGGUGGGCAGAGAAGGAAGCUUGAUAGCCUAAUGCAGUCAGAAAUCAUAAGCAAUAAAAGGGCCUACCUCAUAAACGUUCACAAUCCCGAUAAUAAGCUAUGUUUUGCAAUAGGCCUAGCGCAUUUACUUAACCCCGGAUGUACUGAUCUGACGGCAUUGCAAAAGGCUAGAGAGAUCCAAACGGCGGUGGGUCUCGGGAUCCAUGAAGGCGUGGCAUUCUCAGACAUUGUCAAAUUUGAAAACCUUCUGAAUAUCAAGAUUGUGGUUUUGUACCACAGUAGAGCUAAUGCAGCUCUCUUGAAGUUCCAA